rnacentral:rRNA from 1 species
UACGGGGGGGGCAAGCGUUGUUCGGAAUUACUGGGCGUAAAGGGCUCGUAGGCGGCCAACUAAGUCAUACGUGAAAUCCCUCGGCUUAACCGGGGAACUGCGUCUGAUACUGGAUGGCUUGAGAUUGGGAGAGGGAUGCGGAAUUCCAGGUGUAGCGGUGAAAUGCGUAGAUAUCAGGAGGAACACCGGUGGCGAAGGCGGGUCUCUGGGCCGAUACUGACGCUGAGGAGCGAAAGCGUGGGGAGCAAACAGG